rnacentral:rRNA from 1 species
UACGUAGGGUGCGAGCGUUGUCCGGAAUUAUUGGGCGUAAAGGGCUUGUAGGCGGUCUGUUGCGUCAGGAGUGAAAACUCGGGGCUUAACCCCGAGCCUGCUUCUGAUACGGGCAGACUAGAGGUAUGCAGGGGAGAACGGAAUUCCUGGUGUAGCGGUGAAAUGCGCAGAUAUCAGGAGGAACACCGGUGGCGAAGGCGGUUCUCUGGGCAUUACCUGACGCUGAGGAGCGAAAGUGUGGGGAGCGAACAGG